CAACCCUCGAACCCCUCCGGGGGUCCGGCGUUGGGGAUCGGCCCUUUACCGGCCGGCCCCGAAAUACAGUGGCGGUCUCGCCGCAGCCUCUCCUGCGCAGUAGUUUGCACACUCGCAUCGGGAGCGCGGCGCGUCCACGUCCGUAAAACACCCAACUUUCUGAAAUG
rnacentral:ncRNA from 2 species